GGCGAUGUAGCUAAGCCUGGCAGCGAGAAAGCAGAGCUUUCUAAGUUUCCCUGCUUUCGCUGGGAAAUUAUAGCGCAACGCUCAUAACGUUGAGGUCGCGUGUUCAAAUCACGCCAUCGCCA
rnacentral:tRNA from 1 species